CGAAGGAGGUUCAUAAAUUUUUUUUUUUUUUUUUGUACGCCUCUCGGCAAGUAGUGUGAUGUUGAUAUUUAUUUCGCGAAGUAAAGUUUGACAUUUAUUAGUGUUUUAUGGAAACCGAACAGUCUGUGACAAAUAUUAAUGCCGAAGGGGACAAGCAGUGGGAUCGUGCUUGGACUAUUGAUGAAAUUCGUAAGAACAGUGGAAAUUGGAGCCUGGCUGGAGAUGUUGGGCUAUAUAAUUUGCUUAAUGAAUUUUCUCAUAACAUCAUAUCUCGCACACACGAAGUUGAAAAUGCUGUUGACUCUUUGGUGCACGAAACCAAGAUGGCAUCCGCCAAAAUUAAUAACAUAAUUAAUGAUUUCCAUAUGCUUUCAAAUUUGCAGUUUGUUGAAAAUAGAGUAUAUGAUGAAGAAAUUGAAGAACCUUCACCAGAAGAAAAUGCAAUUGUUGAAAAAACAAAGGAACAGAAAGAGGCAGAAAUGUUGCCAAAAAUCAUCAAAGCAGUGGAAUUGGGACUUUCUGUUUUAGAUCAAGCUUUUGAUAAAAUAAAUGUAAAUGAAAUUUCUGAUAGUGAAGAUGAAGAAGAACUGUCAUCUGAAGGACGUACAAUACUUGAACCUAAGGAUCCAUAUGAAAAUCGUCCUCUGCCUUUCAUCAUUGGAUCAGAAGAAUUUCAAAGUAAUGAUUAUGCUGGUCUUCAAGAUUUAAUAGAAGAUGAUGUUGAGUUGUCAGAUCAUGUUGAGAGCAGCAGUAGCAGCAUGUCGGAAACUGAUGAAACAUCUGAUGAAGAGGAGCCAUUGCCCUUGGAUGAUGAAAAAUAUUCUGUUUUGCCAAAUAAGUCAAGGCGGGCAGAAAGUAUUAGUGAUUCCAGUGAAGAGUCUGAAUUGUUUGGUUCUGAGAAAAAUGAAAAUGGUUUAAUGUCUGAUUCAUCAUUAGAAAGUAGAGCAGAAGAACAAAAAAGUGCACAAGUUACUGAUGUAGAAUCUAAAUCUAAUGAAAAGGUAUCUAGGCCAAACUCUAUUUCUUCGUUGCAGUCAAAAUUGAACUUGCCACAAGUUUUACCAGUACGUAAACUGCAGGAAAAGAAAAAAGCUAGUGAUGAUCUUUUUACUAACGAAGAUGACAUCUCUGACGAUGAAUCACCUUUUCGUAAAAAAACAGGUUUAUUUGCAUCGGAUACAAGAUUUGAUGAGAAUAAGGAUAUAUUUGGUGAUGAUCUUUUUGAUGAGAAGCCUAAAGAAGCAGUAAAAAGUAUAAAAAGCCCUAAAGAAAUUCAAGCACCAAAGGAAGUGCCUUCUGUCAAGAAAAGUAGUAGAGAUGAUAUAUUAUUUGAUAAUGAUGAUGACAGUGAAGAUGAUAUUUUUAAUACUUUAAUGAAAACAAAGAAAUCAGGUGCUUCAAAGAAAGCUAGUGCUGGAAGUCAAGAUUCAUCUGAAAAAGGAGAUAGUUCAUCAACUCCUUCUUCUGCUAUAUCAGUAAAACCUUCUAGUAAUUCAUUUGGUUUUGCACCUGCUGGGGCUUCUGACCUGUUUUUCGGUGAUGAAUCAAAUGAUGAUGAUUUAUUCUCAAAUAAAAGCAACAAGAAAUUUGAUUUUGACACAGUUGGAGAUGAGGAUGAUUUAUUUGGAAGCUUCAGCACUAAGUCAUCUAAAACGUCAGAGGUACCAGAUGGAGACAAAUCUUCAAAAGGUUCAGCUAAACAGUCUUUGUUAUUUGAAAGUGUAAAGGAAUCAAACAAAGCUAGUUCGGAGAAACCAUUAGCAGCAGCAUUAUCUAUUAAAGCCAAAGAUUCACUUUUUGGUGACAGUGACAGUUCUGAUCAGGAAAUUAAAGAACCAAUUAUCCCAGUUUCAUUUCCAAAAAAGAAAGAGGCAAUCAAUCUGUUUGCUGAUGAUGAUGCAGAUGAUAUUUUCAAUCAAGUGAAACCCAAAGAAACAUUGUCAAGCAAAUCUGCCACACAAGAAGCAACAGAUUUAUUUAAUAAACCUGUGGAGGUAAAAGCUAAAGAAACAUCAUCAAGCAAGUCCGUUUUACAAGAUUCAGAAGAUUUAUUCAGUAAACCUGUAAAGAAAGAUAUUACAUCGCCUCCAACCACGCAAAAGAAAGUUCAAAAAUCUUUAUUUGAAGACAGUGAUAAUUUUGACCUUUUCAACAAGAAGGAUAACAAGCUUAUUGAAUCAUUUCAGGAGCCUCAGUCUGAGCAAAACAAAUCUAUAUUUGAAGAUUCUGAUCAAUCUGAUAUGUUUGCACCUUCAAAACUAGAAAAAAUUCCAACACCAAAUCUUCUGACUGACAGUGAAGAUAUGUUUAGUGGAUUUGAUGUACCUGCGGAUAGCAGCAAAACAUUAAAUGUGAUAAGUAAAGACAGAGCUAAAAUUACUGCAAAGCGAAGGAAGCCAACAAAAAAAGGGCGUUUAGCAGCACUGGAGAGUAGUGACAAAGAAAAUAUUAAUACAAACUCUACUUUAACUGAUUCUGAGGAUAUAAAGUCUUCAAAAGAUGACCUAUUUUCUGACAGUAAAGAUAAAACAUCAUCCUCUGAAAGAACUUCACCCAUAAGUUACAAGAUUCAAGAAAAGAAAAAGAUGAACCUUAUGUCCCAGCUAAUAAAUGAAGUUGCUACUACAAAGAUUGGCAAAAGGCACUCACCAGAUAAAGUAGAUAAUAUUGUUGAAACAUCAAAGAGAGAUCAAACAGAAAAAGAUGACUUUUCUUUUCUAUCUCCAGUAAGAGAUAGUUUUGAUUCUAGCUUUGCUUCUAAGACGAAAGAAAACGAGUCAAAUGUCUUAAAUCUAGAAUCAGAAGAUGAAGAUUUUUUUGCUGGGCCAUCAUUUAAAAUUAAAGAUAGUUUUGAUUCUGGCGUUCCGUCUAAGAAGAAAGAUGAUGACGAGAUAAAUGUCUUAAAUGUAGAAUCAACCGAUAAUGAUGAUUUUUUUGCUGAACCGUCAUUUAAAAACUUCCGAUCUAGCAUAUCACACAAGGAUUCAGUUUCAGAUUUGGAUGAUGAUGGUGAUGAUCUUUUUAGUGCAGUUAAAACAACUGUUUUACCAAAGGUAGAAAAAGAUGAAGAUCCUGAUGAUAUAUUUGCAGACGAUUCUGAUAUAUUUGCUGAUAUACAAAAAGAAAAAUAUGAAAUGUUUCCCACAUUAUUAUGUGAUGAAGAAGAUGAUGAUAUUUUUGGAAACAUGGAUCAGCAAGAUAGUGGGAAAACUACAUCUGGUCCAAAAACCACAGCACCUAUAUCUUCUAAAAAAGAAGUAGAGAAGAAACAAGUAAAUAUUUUUGAAGAUCCGUUAACAGGACUGCUGGGAGAUGAUUAAAUUAUUUCUUCAUGAACUGUUUAUCCACGGGACCAAUGAUGAAGUACCAGUUCAGCCAAAUACUUCUACAUUAGAUCAUAACAAGGAAAAUGUUGAAAAUCAUUGUGUUUUUAAUGAGGCAGGUUCUAAUGAAGAAAUUCAUUUGGAUACUCCAGUGAUGACAAAGUAAAAAAAAAUUGUUUUUUCAACACCAAGGGUUUCCCGCUUCAGAAAGAAGAGGAAAUUACAAGAAGUGGAAACUGAAGAAAGAGAUAUUCAAGAACUAAUUAGCAUUCAUCAGCAAACAUUAAACGAACUAAAAGAGAUUAAGCAAACAUUGAAAAUGUUUGUCAUGUUGAAAUGUAUCAAAAAUAGUGUUUCUUAUGAUGACUUAUUAAAUUUAUGUUCAAAAUAAAAUUAUUCCAUUGCAA